GACGAACGCUGGCGGCGUGCCUAAUACAUGCAAGUAGAACGCUGACUACUUUAGCUUGCUAGAGUAGAAGGAGUUGCGAACGGGUGAGUAACGCGUGGGUAACCUGCCUACUAGCGGGGGAUAACUAUUGGAAACGAUAGCUAAUACCGCAUAACAGUGUUUAACACAUGUUAGAUGCUUGAAAGAUGCAAUUGCAUCACUAGUAGAUGGACCUACGUUGUAUUAGCUAGUUGGUGGGGUAACGGCCCACCAAGGCGACGAUACAUAGCCGACCUGAGAGGGUGAUCGGCCACACUGGGACUGAGACACGGCCCAGACUCCUACGGGAGGCAGCAGUAGGGAAUCUUCGGCAAUGGGGGCAACCCUGACCGAGCAACGCCGCGUGAGUGAAGAAGGUUUUCGGAUCGUAAAGCUCUGUUGUAAGAGAAGAACGUGUGUGAGAGUGGAAAGUUCACACAGUGACGGUAACUUACCAGAAAGGGACGGCUAACUACGUGCCAGCAGCCGCGGUAA
rnacentral:rRNA from 1 species